rnacentral:rRNA from 1 species
CCUACGGGAGGCUGCAGUAGGGAAUAUUGCUCAAUGGGGGAAACCCUGAAGCAGCAACGCCGCGUGGAGGAUGAAGGUUCUAGGAUUGUUAACUCUCUUUGUCCGAGAAGAUAUUGACAGUACCUAACCUAUAAGGAACCGCUCACUCAGUGCCAGCAGCCGCGGUAAUACGGAGGGGGGCCGCGUUAAUCGGGAUCAUUGGGGUUAAAGCGGGGAUAGGUGGGUUCGCAAGUCAGAUGUGAAAUCCUUGGGGUUAACCAUAGAACUGCAGUUGAAACAGGUAGUCUUGAGUAUGGGAGAGGUAGGUGGAAUUCGUGGUGUAGGGGUGAAAUGCAUAGAGAUCAAGAAGAAGACGGAUUGCGAAGGCAGCGUACUGGAAGAUCACUGACGCUGAGGCACGAAAGCGUGGGGAGCGAACAGGAUUAGAUACCCCUGUAGUC